UCCGUGUAAUUGAUCCAGUAGAAUGUUAACAAGACUACCCCACCCAUCAUGUGUUCUUCUUUUUUACCUCUACAUCUCAGGUUUGAACUUCUAUAGCAGUAAAUUACUAGUCUUUCGUUUUGCGAUUGUUUGAAUUUGAAGUUCAGGAAGUCGUACUAUUCUCAUAUUAAUUGUGUGUUUUGGUGUUGUUUUUUUUUUGCUUUUUUUAUAUAUAUAUAUAUAGAUCUAAAUUUGCUCUCUUUAAUUUGCCUGUCAAUUUUCUAUAGUGAUUCCUUCACAUUUUGAUGUAUGAGAUUUUCUCACCUACGGGUUGACCCCUCGCAUUCGAUAGGGUAGUGGCCUAGGAGUAUAAAAAGAUGUUGUGUAAUAUAAAUAGAUAUCUACAAGGUAUAUUCAUUUUGCCAUACAGAAGCAUAGGCUUUAUAUAAUGUUUAGAAUAUAAAAGAAAGUAUAUUUACUAUAACGCGGAGUUGAUUUGAACGUAUUGAAGUACAUGAAUGCAAUGGGCUAUUGUAUAUCUUCUGAUAUAUAUAUGCUUACUAGGAAACGCGUGUUGCAAGAGCUACAAUUACAAAAAAA
rnacentral:lncRNA from 1 species